ACGGAAGGCAGCAGUGAGGAAUAUUGGACGAUGGCCGGAAGGCUGAUCCAGCCAUGCCGCGUGAAGGCAGACGGUCCUAUGGAUUGUAAACUUCUUUUGUACGGGAGCAAUAAGGUGGACGUGUCCAUCGAUGAGAGUACCGUACGAAUAAGCAUCGGCUAACUCCGUGCCAGCAGCCGCGGUAAUACGGAGGAUGCGAGCGUUAUCCGGAUUUAUUGGGUUUAAAGGGUGCGUAGGCGGGCUGGUAAGUCAGCGGUGAAACGCAGGUGCUCAACACCUGACCUGCCGUUGAUACUGCCGGGCUUGAAUGCGGAUGCUGUGGGAGGAAUGUGUGGUGUAGCGGUGAAAUGCAUAGAUAUCACACAGAACACCGAUUGCGAAGGCAUCUCACAAAUCCGCAAUUGACGCUGAGGCACGAAAGUGCGGGGAGCGAACAGGAUUAGAUACCCUGGUA
rnacentral:rRNA from 1 species